rnacentral:lncRNA from 1 species
CCCGAGUGAAUUUAGUAAAGGUCAGGAUACGAUUGACAUGCCAAUAGGGUUUUGUCCGUGCUUUACGAUAUUGAUUACAGAUGGUAUCAAUAUCCAACACUUAUUGUAGAUACAAAGAUACAUGUGACAUAGGUUUAGCCUAGAUUAGUAACCUAAUAUCGAUUUAAAGGUUUAGUUCGAAUGGGUAACCUGACAUGUAUAUAUUCAGCUUGGACAAGCAAUCAGAUGUAAAAAUUUGUUAUAAAG